GCCUAGGGAAGUGGAGGCUGAGGCUCUGGAAGCUGAGCAGCUCAGCUGGGCUUUGAACCUGCCUUGAGCUUUCCUGAGCAGCAUGGCCGCACAGCUGGCCCAGGUAAAGGCAAGCGCUCAGCACAAAUGGACCGGGGACUCUUCCUGCAGCAUCUUUGUUUCUGCAGAAAGAGAAGCCGAUAGCUUCAAAUAGAAACCAGCCCCAAGUCCAACCGGGUGUGGAUUUCCACCAGCUCCCCAGACCUCCUGGUUAAAUGCCAUAGGGUGAAGCCCAUCUCUGACACAAAUGUUCUUUCCGACUUCACAUCCUGCCACCAGUCCUCACUGAAACAAGAGCAUGGAUGGUUCAUUUUCUCUCCCCAUCCUGGUCUGAUAUCAGUAAAGACACGCCCUUUCCUGCAGGGUACAGAUUUCAUUUCCGACACAGGAUCAAGCUCCAUUAGCGCCUGUGAGCAGACAGAACUGGAACCAGAAGAAGUUGGACCCUCUGUCAAAGGUCUGCCAACCUGGUGAUCAUUAGACUCCUCUUUACACCAGAUUGGUUUAGUCAAGCUGCCUGGACACAGUGCUGGCAGGUUGGGUGAGAGGAGUGGUCAGAAUGCAGCUGAACACACAGGACCACUGACAGCCCAGGUGGGUGGGAGGGAGAGAGCUUCAGCAAGGUCUCCUUGGGCUCUACCAGAGUGGCCCAAGGAAGGGGGCACAUUCAGAGGGAAGAGAGUGCACAGCAGCCAGUAUAGGAAAGAAGGCCAAGAGUUCAAUUUGGGGUGAUUAUAGUUUGAGGGGCUGAAGAAGCAUCUGUCCAAUCGAAAACGUUAGGCAGCUGGACGCAGAUCUCCAGGUUCAGGUGGUGGUCAGGACUGCAGAGGUCAACAGUGUAGAGAUGGAACUUAGCCCCCGGGUCUGUUGCAUCUUGACAGAUGUUCUCCCUCGUCUCGUGGUGUUCAUUUCUGUGUCAAUCACUUUCUGUCUAUCUCCAGUUGUGCAGGAAGUGCAACUCAAGACCCUGGUUCCGGGAAUCCACAGCAGACAAGCACUGUCCUGCUGUAGCAUCCACCACCUGCAGGACCCGGCUGCCACUCAGGAGGAAGAAAGCAAGACCCCGCCUUGCUGUGGGACCUGAGGAGAAGGAGAGCCACAGACCAAGGCUGCACAAGGUCCUGGAGAGCAAAAGCACAUUCUUCAUCAUGAAGGACCUUCUUGCUUUUGUGAAUGAUGAAAACUGUGCCCAGCUCAGCUCAUCACAGAUGCACCAUUUCUAGCCCUCAAAGACCGCAGUGGCUUCAGUCCUCCCAGACUCGGAGAUUCCCCCUUGCUGCUGGGAUGUCACCUGGGCAGGCGAGUCCACAUACUACAGGAGUUCCCUGGACUUCCCCUGCUUCUGGGUGGAGGCCCCUGUGCCAGAACCUCUGGAAUUUCUCACACUGGGAAAGAUCCGUGCAUGGAAACCUGGGAAAUUGCAUUGCAAACUGGCUUGUGUGGAAGAGACCAUCAGAGCGAGCACUGAAGAAGGCAGACAAUAUGGGGAAGCAGGAAUAUUAUGGGGGUGUGUCAGGUAAUCAGUUAAUAAGAGUAUUUGUGCUAUUUUUAAAAUUUUGUGGGAUUUGCAAUGUUUUUCAGUUUUUAAAUUUUUAUACUUUGUUGUGAUUUUUUUCAAAUAUGAAUGUUAUUUCAUGACUAAUGUUAUAUUUCUCAUGUUAUCAUAUUUAUUCAUAGGAAACAUCGCCUUCCAAUAAGUAAUUACAUAAGUUUCCGUCCCAGUAAGACCUGGGUUUGCCGUGCCUGUGACUCAUAGUUCUCUGGGUCGGCCGUGCUCAUCAGAGAACCGAUUGAUGGGCAGGGAGCGCCAGGGGAGGCUGGUGGUGGUCACCUGGGCCGUGUGGUUGGCAGGGUCUGUGAAGCCCAGUGGGGGCUCCCCCUUCCUUGGUCUCAGGGGGGCACUCAUCUUCCCUCGCUGUCCAGAAGGAAGAACCACCUCUGCUUCAGCUGUCUCUAGAGGCUGGUGUGGCCACAUGAGAGAAGCAGCAACCGCCUGCUCAAGGGCCUCGGGUCACCUCCAACAGGGACAGCUUCCAGGGAGGAGCCUGAUCAUGAUCCACUUCUUGUUUAGGUCUCUGCUCUGUCCCUGACGGCAGGGAAGGUCCCAAGCCUGGAGCCAUGCGUGGACGUAGUGGAGACUCAAUGCUUGCAGAAUGUGGGAGUCAUGUGGUCAAACCCUGUUACUUCACUGUGACAUUGCUGGGGUAGGCCACAUGGCCAGCCUGCACAGGAAAAGUCAUUCAAAGCCAUAAUUCAGAGUGACAUCUCACAGAUAAUGCUUACAUUCAGCUUUAAAAAGAAUAAGAGACUGCUGACAUACAAAGUCCUGUCCACUCUGUCCUUAGUGUUUAUCUGCCAUCUCUGUCUGAUCUAGCCUGCCACACUGACAUGUGAAAGUACACACAACACGCACAUGUACACACACAGAUCCACACACUGAAGUGUCCAUGCGCGCGCGCGUGCACACACACGUACAUACUACCUUGGUUGGGAUCUGGAAUGUCCCCCAGAGGCUCAUGUGUUGAAGGCAUGGUCCCCAAUGCAUCCAUAUUCUGAGAUGGGGCUUCUGGGAAGUGAUUGGCUCCUGAGGGCUCUGACCUCACCAGUGGGUUAUUGAUCUGAUGGCAUUAUUGAGAAGAAAACGUUUUAAACCAUUGAGUGGGACCUAGAUGAAGGAGCAAGUCCUUGGCAGCAUGCCCCUGGUGACAAUGUCCUGUCUCUGGUCCCUUCUCCUUCUCUGUUUCUGGCUGCGAUGAGUGGGGAGCUUCUGCUAUGAUGGUCAGCUCAGACAGAGUCAUGGAGCUAUGGGCCUUGAACUGAAUCCUCUGAAGCUGUGGCCUAAAUAAAUCUUUCUUCCUUUUAAGUUGCUUCUGUCUGGUGUUUGGGCCACUGUAACAGAGAGAUAACACACAUGUCCAUAUCUGUGUCCACACCCAGAGCCAUCCCUUUGCCCGUUCCAGCUGAGGUCAAUUGUCACCUCCAAACUCACUGUGCAGUGGGUGUGUGGGUUCAUGGUGACCCUUUUCUGUGUCAUGUGAACCCAUCAAGAUGUUUGUAUCCAGA